rfam:Chryseobacterium haifense DSM 19056 contig26, whole genome shotgun sequence.
UGAUUUAUAUAUUUGCAACAAUGAAAACGAACAACAAUACAAACUGGUGGUGGCCUCAAAACUUUCAAAGUCUUGAGCAUUACUCUUUUGCGUAAAAAAUUAUAUUUUAUCAAAAAAUUAAAAGACUUUGAC